UGCCCCACGCCCCGCCAGCCUGGCGCCCACCAGCUCCGUGCCCAACAGCUAUCGGCCUCUUAUCUGGACAAUCGGUUGCUCUUGGCCAGCCCGUCCUGCUGCAGAAAGGAACGAGGUGCAGUUCUAGAGAGGGUGGCCACAAUCUAAUUCCCCCUCUGUUGUACAUAGGUGGCCAGAGUUCCCCAUAGAGACAGGCGGGAGGUCAGUGUGCAGGUGGGAGCAGGUGCAGAGGUCUCCCACCCAGGCCCCUCUGGGUGUCCCCACCACCAGGUGCUCCCAGCCACACUGGUGGAAAGCAGCGCCUGUCACAGUGGGGACAUUAGCUGUUGAACCUCCUGUCUCCAUCUGAGCUCCUGUCCCUGCCCCAGCCCGGGGGCUUCCUGCUGCACUCAAUGGAGGUGACCAGGAAGCCUGGAGGGGCACACUGAGGCCUCUGAUGCUCAGAAGCCCAGCACAGAUCCAGCAUCUGCCGAGCAUGUGUGCUCAGACCCCCACGAUGGCCCCCGCUGAGGGACGAGGAGGGAAGCCUGGGAAGGGCAGUGCCCAGGUGGCCCCUGCUGGGGGUGGCAGGGGGGGUCAGCUCCACACUGCACACAUUGUCCUGGAAGCUCUGCAGGUCACCAGCACACAGAGGUAAGCGUUGCCCACCCAGGAGCCAGACACCCAAGGAGGGCUUGCAGAGUGAGAAGACAGGCCAGAGGGUGGGGAGGGCGACACGGAGGGAUGGUGCAGUAAGGGAAGGCCCCGGGAGAGAAGGAGCAGAGUAGCGGGAGGAAAGCGGGGGAAAGAGUGUCAUGAAAGCAAGGUACAGCUCCCACAGUGGGGAAGAGGAUUCUGAGGGUCAGAGUGGUGACCUGACUUACCCAAAGCCGGCCUUUGACGCAGAGGCCCCUGCUCCUCUUCCUGUUGAGAGAAGCCAGGAAUGGGGAGGGAGAGGCAGCAGAAUGAGCUGAUAUGAGACCUGUACACAGAAAACGAUUAUAUACAUCUCUCAGUAUAUUGAGUGAGACUUAACAAGGCCUAAGUAAUCGAUUUAAUUUUAAUUUGAUUUUUUAAAUUUUCUCUCUCUCUUUUUUUUUUUUUUUUUUUUAGAAAUUGACAAGCUGCCAGGUGCGGUGGCUCAUGCUUGUACUGCCAGCACUUUGGAAGGCCAAGGUGGGAGGAUAGCUUGAGCCCAGGAAUUUGAGACCAGCCUGGGCAGCAUAGCAAGACUCCAUCUGAUAUAGUUUGGGUAUUUGUCCCCGCCCAGACAUAUGUUCAAAUGGAAUCUUCAGUGUUGGAGAUGGGGCCUG
rnacentral:lncRNA from 1 species